rnacentral:rRNA from 1 species
AGAGUUUGAUCAUGGCUCAGAUUGAACGCUGGCGGCAGGCUUAACACAUGCAAGUCGAACGGUAACAGGGAGGAGCUUGCUUCUUUGCUGACGAGUGGCGGACGGGUGAGUAAUGCUUGGGAAUCUGGCUUAUGGAGGGGGAUAACUACGGGAAACUGUAGCUAAUACCGCGUAAUAUCUUCGGAUUAAAGGGUGGGACUUUCGGGCCACCUGCCAUAAGAUGAGCCCAAGUGGGAUUAGGUAGUUGGUGGGGUAAAGGCCUACCAAGCCGACGAUCUCUAGCUGGGCUGAGAGGAUGACCAGCCACACUGGAACUGAGACACGGUCCAGACUCCUACGGGAGGCAGCAGUGGGGAAUAUUGCACAAUGGGGGGAACCCUGAUGCAGCCAUGCCGCGUGAAUGAAGAAGGCCUUCGGGUUGUAAAGUUCUUUCGGUGAUGAGGAAGGUGUUUGUUUUAAUAGAGCAAGCAAUUGACGUUAGUCACAGAAGAAGCACCGGCUAACUCCGUGCCAGCAGCCGCGGUAAUACGGAGGGUGCGAGCGUUAAUCGGAAUGACUGGGCGUAAAGGGCACGCAGGCGGUGACUUAAGUGAGAUGUGAAAGCCCCGAGCUUAACUUGGGAAUUGCAUUUCAUACUGGGUCGCUAGAGUACUUUAGGGAGGGGUAGAAUUCCACGUGUAGCGGUGAAAUGCGUAGAGAUGUGGAGGAAUACCGAAGGCGAAGGCAGCCCCUUGGGAAUGUACUGACGCUCAUGUGCGAAAGCGUGGGGAGCAAACAGGAUUAGAUACCCUGGUAGUCCACGCUGUAAACGCUGUCGAUUUGGGGAUUGGGCUUAGAGCUUGGUGCCCGUAGCU